rnacentral:pre_miRNA from 1 species
GGUGAGAGGACAUAGCCAGUGCUGUUAUUUUCGAUUGGCAGUGGUCAUGUCUUCGCACUGGA